UACAUGGGGUGCAAACGUUGCUCGGAAUCAUUGGGCGUGAAGCGCGUGUAGGCGGUUCGGUAAGUCUGCUGUGAAAGUCCAGGGCUCAACCCUGGGAUGCCGGUGGAUACUGUCGGGCUAGAGUACGGGAAGAGGCGAGUGGAAUUCCCGGUGUAGCGGUGAAAUGCGCAGAUAUCAGGAAGAACACCGGUGGCGAAGGCGGCUCUCUGGGACGGUACUGACGCUGAGACGCGAAAGCGUGGGGAGCGAACAGG
rnacentral:rRNA from 1 species